UUGUGGUUAAAAAGCUCGUAGUUGGAUCUCAACAGCCUUGAAAGCGGUUAACUUUGUAGUUUUACUGCUUUAUAGGCUGUGCUUUUGCUGGAGGUUUAGGGGUGCUCUUGAUCGAGUGUCUCUGGAUGCCAGCAGGUUUACUUUGAAAAAAUUAGAGUGCCCAAAGCAGGCUAAAAUGCCUGAAUAUUCGUGCAUGGAAUAAUAGAAUAGGAUGUCGAUCCUAUUUUGUUGGUUUUCGGGACUCGACAUAAUGAUAAAUAGGGACAGUCGGGGGCAUUUGUAUUCAAACGACAGAGGUGAAAUUCUUGGACCGUUUGAAGACAAACUACUGCGAAAGCAUUUGCCAAGAAUGUUUUCAUUAAUCAAGAACGAAAGUUAGAGGUUCGAAGGCGAUUAGAUACCGCCCUAGUUCUAACCAUAAACGAUGCCAGCUAGCGAUCUACCGGCGUUUAAACUUAAGACUCGGCAGGAAGCUUCCGGGAAACCAAAGCAUUUGGGUUCCAGGGGAAGUAUGGUUG
rnacentral:rRNA from 1 species